rnacentral:tRNA from 1 species
GCGCCUGUAGCUCAAUUGGAUAGAGCAUUAGACUUCGGAUCUAAGGGUUGGAGGUUCAAGUCCCCCCAGGCGCG